rnacentral:rRNA from 1 species
GGCAGGGGGGCGGCUACACAUGCAAGUCGAACGGUAACAUUUCUAGCUUGCUAGAAGAUGACGAGUGGCGGACGGGUGAGUAAUGCUUGGGAACUUGCCUUUGCGAGGGGGAUAACAGUUGGAAACGACUGCUAAUACCGCAUAAUGUCUUCGGACCAAACGGGGCUUUUAGCUCCGGCGCAAAGAGAGGCCCAAGUGAGAUCAGCUAGUUGGUAAGGUAACGGCUUACCAAGGCGACGAUCUCUAGCUGUUCUGAGAGGAAGGUCAGCCACACUGGGACUGAGACACGGCCCAGACUCCUACGGGAGGCAGCAGUGGGGAAUAUUGCACAAUGGGGGAAACCCUGAUGCAGCCAUGCCGCGUGUGUGAAGAAGGCCUUCGGGUUGUAAAGCACUUUCAGUUGUGAGGAAAAGUUAGUAGUUAAUACCUGCUAGCCGUGACGUUAACAACAGAAGAAGCACCGGCUAACUCCGUGCCAGCAGCCGCGGUAAUACGGAGGGUGCGAGCGUUAAUCGGAAUUACUGGGCGUAAAGCGCACGCAGGCGGUUUGUUAAGCUAGAUGUGAAAGCCCCGGGCUCAACCUGGGAUGGUCAUUUAGAACUGGCAGACUAGAGUCUUGGAGAGGGGAGUGGAAUUCCAGGUGUAGCGGUGAAAUGCGUAGAUAUCUGGAGGAACAUCAGUGGCGAAGGCGACUCUCUGGCCAAAGACUGACGCUCAUGUGCGAAAGUGUGGGUAGCGAACAGGAUUAGAUACCCUGGUAGUCCACACCGUAACGCUGUCUACUAGCUGUGUGUGUCUUUAAGACGUGCGUAGCGAAGCUAACGCGCUAAGUAGACCGCCUGGGGAGUACGGCCGCAAGGUUAAACUCAAUGAAUUGACGGGGGCCCGCACAAGCGGUGGAGCAUGUGUUUAAUUCGAUGCACGCGGAAGAACCUUACCUACACUUGACAUGCUGAGAGUUACUAGAGAUAGUUCGUGCUUCGGAACUCAGACACAGUGCUGCAUGCUGUCGUCAGCUCGUGUCGUGAGAUGUUGGGUUAAGUCCGCAACGAGGCAACCUUGUCCUUAAUUGCCAGCCUUAAAUUGGCACUCUAGGAGACGGCGGGGACAAACCGAAGAAGUGUGGGGACGAAUAAAGGCACAUGGGCCUUUCAUGGUAGGGGUCACCCCGGUCACAUGGCUUAUCAGGGAGCAGCAGCAGUGUGGUGAGCGGCACUCUCAUAAAUGGACGUGAGCU